CUACCUGACGAACCAGUGCAAUCUCAGACAUCCUUUCCUCUAUUCAUAUUCUUGACUGCUUCCCUCUGUAUAAGGCAUGGGAAAUGUCUUAUUGGGCAAUUCAACUGUGCUGUAAUGCGAUUAUAACAACUAGUCCUAUUAAGCGAAUCUGUCAGGAGAUUUUUUUCGCUCAUUUUUGCUCAUAUUUCUGAUCCGAAAUCCAAUUCUCAAAACUACUUAUUCAAACUCCACAACAUUUCUCAGCAGCGGAAGUUGUAGUGAAUGGGAGAGUACCACAAAUAUUUUUUUCCAUUCCCAUUUGCUCAAAUAGCCAAAAAUAGCCACAAAAUAGGAAAAAAUAUAGAACUGAAUGCAGUCAGCAGAGAGAAUGAAAUCAAGUUUACAGAAGCUGCAUAAGAAACACCCCCACAUUAGCAUUAACUAGUUUUUUUUCUUGUAAUUUGAUACAAAGGCAGUAUAAUACCAAAUAUAAUCUUAUAAAUGUACAUUAGUUUAAAAAAUAUAAAUACAUAUGAAAAACUUUCAAGGAUUAACGAUGCUGAAGACCGUGAUAGUAUGGGCGUGGUUUAAGAGAGCACACCACGUGCGUUUUCAAACAGCGUGACUAACGGACGGACGACUUCAGAGCUACUUCGAAUUUCAGUGGCAAUUUUACAAAAUAUAUCCCUCAUGGAGUCUGACCGGGACUGGUAUCUCCCGACAUUCUCUGAAGCUUAGGUCCACUAAGAUGUCCCGUUGAUUGAAGCUGACAUGGAGUCACAGUGACAUCCUUAAAAACUGUUGUCAUGUAUAAUACAUCUCUGCAUCUUAAAAUAUUUCUCUGCAUCUUUAAAUAUUUGUUUUUUUGAUUUUUUGUCUAUGUUUUAGAUUUAAGUGUUUAAGCUGUUUUCAUGAAAAAAUAUUGCCAUGUCUACCUUUUUUUUAUGAAUGUUCUAAAUAUUUUGAAUAAUUUCAAUCCAUUUAAAAAUCUUAAAGUUCUUAAUUUUGUUUUGUUUUGAUUGUUUUUCAUGUUUUAUAUUGAUGUG